AGUGAACGCUGGCGGUAGGCCUAACACAUGCAAGUCGAACGGCAGCACAGUAAGAGCUUGCUCUUACGGGUGGCGAGUGGCGGACGGGUGAGGAAUACAUCGGAAUCUACUUUUUCGUGGGGGAUAACGUAGGGAAACUUACGCUAAUACCGCAUACGACCUACGGGUGAAAGCAGGGGAUCUUCGGACCUUGCGCGAUUGAAUGAGCCGAUGUCGGCUUAGCUAGUUGGCGGGGUAAAGGCCCACCAAGGCGACGAUCCGUAGCUGGUCUGAGAGGAUGAUCAGCCACACUGGAACUGAGACACGGUCCAGACUCCUACGGGAGGCAGCAGUGUGGAAUAUUGGACGAUGGGCGCAAGCCUGAUCCAGCCAUACCGCGUGGGUGAAGAAGGCCUUCGGGUUGUAAAGCCCUUUUGUUGGGAAAGAAAAGCAGCAGGUUAAUACCCCGCUGUUCUGACGGUACCCAAAGAAUAAGCACCGGCUAACUUCGUG
rnacentral:rRNA from 1 species